GGCUGCAGCGACACUACUUCACAGCUCAGGCCCACCCGGGCAGUCUCCCGGGCCAGGGCCACGACCCACGCCUUGUGACCCCUGCACGUCAACGGCAUCUUCCUUCUUCACGCCCGCCCUCCCACAGCCCGGCGCAGCGGCCUCCCGCACGCCCCCUGCCCACCUGGCCCCCAGCCACCUUUCCUCACCUGGGCCUGCGGGGCCGCCCCAACUGUCCCGCUGCAACCCCAGCAGCCUCGCCAGUUGGGUCCACGCCUAGCCUGCCGGCUUUCGUCGCUAUCCAAUCCCACCUGCGCCCGCGAGCCUGCGCACUGGAGCUUUGCCCUGCGCCGCGGCCCUCUGCCCUGCGCCGCGGCCCUCUGCCUGCCAGGCCGGGAGAGACAGAACCUGCCUCUACCGGUCUUCCAAGGCACUGAGAGCCCAUCGCCGCGGACGCCGCUGUAAAUUCCCUGCGGGCCCUGUGCACCACCCUGUGCGCGUCCCCCUCUCCCAGGCCAGGCUGAUAAUGCUAACAGCUCUCUGAUCUAUGCUCAUAUCCUGAACCACUGAGGACUGUGUUCUCCAGGAAUGCUCGCCUGACCCACACCUGCCCUCUAAGCCCCUAAUGAGGCCCCAGAGGGCUGGGGUGGGGGGGUCUCUUUGUAGUAUCAGAGCAGGGCAGAUAGGCAAAAGGAGUCAGAGCCUGUGCCAGAAUAUGAGGUCAGUUGGCUGCUAGGUCAAUUAAGACAACUUCAGCAAGGGUGGUCAAUGUAGAGGGAAUUCAAUCGUUGGCAUUGCCUGAAAACAGGAAGCCAGAAUCUUUUUAUCUUGACGAACAAACCUCUAUUCAUUGGUCCUGACCUGAGCCACUUUGGUGAAUCCAGAUACCCUGAAGGUGUGACAAGACCUGCCUCACUUAUCCCCCAGCCUUCAGUGCUGGUCCCACAGAGAGCCAUAUGCUUGAGCUGAACUGCAGUUAAACAGUGACAGCUACCCUCUGUCCAGGCUCUGAGGCCAGCUUUCUGCUCCGUGAGUCACUGACAGUGAGUCUCUACAGAGACUUUUUCUUUCUGUAGCAGCCAAGUUUCACAGGCUGUAAAAGAAACAUGGCACCACCACCCGCUUUUGAUGAGGGCCUCAGGAAGCUUCCACUCAUGGCAGAAGACAAAGGAGAGCCAAUGUGUGCAAGACAGAGGAAGAGAGAGAGUGCCUAACAUCAAGAUUCUGCGCUGGUCAUCAUUUCACAAACGUGAGCAGCAUGGCUGCUCCAAGACACACAGAGGGAAUAACCCCCAUUCACAUCACCAGGAAAUCCUUGCAUGGAGGCUAAAUGAACAGUUGUCCUUGGCCUUGAUCCGGAUACCCAGACGCCCUCUGAGAUGGACCUUGAGGGCCAUGCCAAUGUCUGCUCUCUGCUGAGGUAGGGCUCAUCUACUCCUUACAAGUAUAAGAACUUACUGCAAAACAUACCCUCCUCCAAGCCAUGGGUCCCCAGAUACAGUCAGGAGGACCCCAGUGGAUAGCUGGAACUCAGGACCUCAGGAGAGAUCCCAAGGCCUAUGCUCGAGUUCAGAGUUUUCUAAUUCAGGCUUGGAGCCCAGGAACAGAAGAUAACUAAGAACAAUACUGACAGAAAAAAAUAAUCACUUCAUUGACAUUACCCUUCACAGGACCGCCUGCUUCAGGCCUGUGCUUUGCAGGCUGGUUCAUUUGGGAAUGGUAUGCUUCACACCCAGCCCUGUUAAGUGUGAGUUGAUGAGGACCAUGAGCUUGGAAGAAGCCGUGGGGGCCUCUCUGUGUGUUUCUCUCUGCCCUGCUUUGAGACACUUCACAUAAAAGACUCUAUAAAAAUAAAUUGUGGAGAUUUCAAUGCCAGUAAAAAUCCCAGUGGAGGUAG